GAGAGAGACAUGCGCGCAUAUCAAUAAGCGGAGGAAAAGAAACUAACAAGGAUUCCCCUAGUAACGGCGAGUGAAGCGGGAAGAGCUCAAAUUUGAAAUCUUAAAGGGUUUCCCUUUACGAAUUGUAGUUUAAAGAAGUGUUUUCUGUUGAGGUUUUGGUAAAAGUUCUUUGGAAUAGGACAUCAUAGAGGGUGAGAAUCCCGUAUUUGACCUUUACUUUCAACUUUGUGAUACACUUUCGAAGAGUCGGAUUGUUUGGGAAUGCAGUCCAAAAUGGGUGGUAAAUUUCAUCUAAAGCUAAAUAUUGGCGAGAGACCGAUAGCGAACAAGUACCGUGAGGGAAAGAUGAAAAGAACUUUGAAAAGAGAGUUAAACAGUACGUGAAAUUGUCAAAAGGGAAGCGUUUGACACCAGUGUUGUUUUUCUGAAAAUCAAUUAAAGAACUGUUUAUGCUAAGUUGUUUAGACUUUAUCAGCUAACUGUUUAGUUUUGAGCUUUUCUUUAAUGCACUUUUCAGUUAACAAGUCAACAUCAAUUUCUCUUGCUGUAAAAAAGCUUGAGGAAGGUGGCUUGAGAUUCGUCUUAAGUGUUUAUAGCCUCUUGCUUAUGCAGUCGGAGAGAUUGAGGUCUGCAGCGUAGAUCCUUCGGGGCUAAAUGCAUUUGUGCUAAGUUAUAGCAUUUUAUAGACAACUUGUUGACUAUGAUUUGUCUUGUAGCUUACUCGCUUAUGUUAUUUUACCUACGCUUAGGAUGUUGAGCGCAUGUCUCUCUCU
rnacentral:rRNA from 1 species